GGCAGUUGAUGGCUUUUUCUCACGGUGGUCUGAGGAUGCCCCUGAGGGUCCUGCCGAUAAUGCCAGUGGCUCAGCUGAUGCCAGGAA